rnacentral:rRNA from 1 species
UACAGGGGGGGCAAGUGUUACUCAUCUUGAUUGGGCGUAAAGGGCGUGUAGGUGGUUAAUGGUGUUUAUCAUAAAGUUGUUUGAGUGGUUCAAAUAAAUGAUUCAUUACUCAUUAACUUGAGUUUGUUAGGUGGUUGCGGUACUCUCGGUGUAAAGGUAACAUUUAACGAUAUCGAUGGGGACUUUCAAGGGCGAAGGCGGCGAACCAAGAACGUAACUGACGCUGAAACGCGAAAGCGUGGGGAGCAAACAGGGAUUAAGAAA